rnacentral:rRNA from 1 species
AUUGAACGCUGGCGGCAUGCUUUACACAUGCAAGUCGAACGGUAACAGGCCGCAAGGUGCUGACGAGUGGCGAACGGGUGAGUAAUGCAUCGGAACGUGCCCAGUCGUGGGGGAUAACGCAGCGAAGGCUGCGCUAAUACCGCAUACGAUCUGUGGAUGAAAGCGGGGGACCGUAAGGCCUCGCGCGAUUGGAGCGGCCGAUGUCAGAUUAGGUAGUUGGUGGGGUAAAGGCUCACCAAGCCGACGGUCUGUAGCUGGUCUGAGAGGACGACCAGACACACUGGGACUGAGACACGGCCCAGACUCCUACGGGAGGCAGCAGUGGGGAAUUAUGGACAAUGGGCGCAAGCCUGAUCCAGCAAUGCCGCGUGCAGGAAGAAGGCCUUCGGGUUGUAAACUGCUUUUGUACGGAACGAAACGGUCCUGGUUAAUACCCGGGGCUAAUGACGGUACCGUAAGAAUAAGCACCGGCUAACUACGUGCCAGCAGCCGCGGUAACAC